rnacentral:rRNA from 1 species
UCAGGACGAACGCUGGCGGCGUGCUUAACACAUGCAAGUCGAGCGAUGAAGCUUCUUCGGAAGUGGAUUAGCGGCGGACGGGUGAGUAACACGUGGGUAACCUGCCUCAUAGAGGGGAAUAGCCUUCCGAAAGGAAGAUUAAUACCGCAUAAGAUUGUAAUAUCGCAUGAUAUAGCAAUUAAAGGAGUAAUCCGCUAUGAGAUGGACCCGCGUCGCAUUAGCUAGUUGGUGAGGUAACGGCUCACCAAGGCGACGAUGCGUAGCCGACCUGAGAGGGUGAUCGGCCACAUUGGGACUGAGACACGGCCCAGACUCCUACGGGAGGCAGCAGUGGGGAAUAUUGCACAAUGGGGGAAACCCUGAUGCAGCCAACGCCGCGUGAGUGAUGACGGUCUUCGGAUUGUAAAGCUCUGUCUUCAGGGACGAUAAUGACGGUACCUGAGGAGGAAGCCACGGCUAACUACGUGCCAGCCGCUGC